rnacentral:rRNA from 1 species
GGGGCAGCAGUACUUUUCGGAGUAGCUGGCGACCGGCGCACGGGUGCGUAACGCGUAUGCAAUCUACCCACUGCACAGGGAUAGCCCGUGGAAACAUGGAUUAAUACCUGAUAAUACAGGGAGCCCACCUGGGCAUAUUGUUAAAGUUUUAACGGCAGUGGAUGAGCAUGCGUCCCAUUAGUUAGUUGGUAAGAUAACGGCUUACCAAGGCGAUGAUGGGUAGGGGUUCUGAGAGGAUGAUCCCCCACACUGGUACUGAGAUACGGACCAGACUCCUACGGGAGGCAGCAGUAGGGAAUAUUGGUCAAUGGACGAGAGUCUGAACCAGCCAUGCCGCGUGCAGGAAGACGGCCUUCUGGGUUGUAAACUGCUUUUCUCAGGGAAGAAAAAGGUCUUGCGAGACAAAUUGCCGGUACCUGAGGAAUAAGCACCGGCUAACUCCGUGCCAGCAGCCGCGGUAAUACGGAGGGUGCGAGCGUUGUCCGGAUUUAUUGGGUUUAAAGGGUGCGUAGGUGGUUUAUUAAGUCAGUGGUGAAAUCCUGCAGCUCAACUGUAGAACUGCCAUUGAUACUGUUUUUCUUGAGUAUAGAUGAAGUGGGCGGAAUGUGUCAUGUAGCGGUGAAAUGCAUAGAUAUGACACGGAACACCAAUUGCGAAGGCAGCUCACUAAACUAUUACUGACGCUGAUGGACGAAAGCGUGGGGAGCAAACAGGAUUAGAUACCCUGGUAGUCCACGCCGUAAACGAUGAUUACUCGGUGCUAGCGAUAUACUGUUAGUGCCUAAGCGAAAGUGAUAAGUAAUCCACCUGGGGAGUACGAUCGCAAGAUUGAAACUCAAAGGAAUUGACGGGGGCCCGCACAAGCGGUGGAGCAUGUGGUUUAAUUCGAUGAUACGCGAGGAACCUUACCUGGGCUUAAAUGUAGAUUGACAGAUUGGGAAACCAGUCCUUCUUCGGACAAUUUACAAGGUGCUGCAUGGUUGUCGUCAGCUCGUGCUGUGAGGUGUCGGGUUAAGUCCCAUAACGAGCGCAACCCCUAUCCUUAGUUGCCAGCGAGUAAUGUCGGGGACUCUAAGGAAACUGCCCGCGUAAGCGGUGAGGAAGGUGGGGAUGACGUCAAAUCAUCACGGCCCUUACGUCCAGGGCUACACACGUGCUACAAUGGCGGAUACAAAGGGCAGCUACUUGGUGACAAGAUGCUAAUCUCGAAAGUCCGUCUCAGUUCGGAUCGAAGUCUGCAACUCGACUUCGUGAAGCUGGAAUCGCUAGUAAUCGCGUAUCAGCAAUGACGCGGUGAAUACGUUCCCGGGCCUUGUACACACCGCCCGUCAAGCCAUGGAAGCUGGGAGUGCCUGAAGUC